AGGAUUUUCGACAUUGGUACUCCUGUAAGAAAGGUUAGGAUGGUUCCGGUAAUUCUGAUUGAACCCUCUGUUCUGAUAGUUGCCAUACCCAUUCACGAAAUUCAACUCUGCCUGUAGAUCGUCAGAACCGUCUCCGCUAAACUCUUGAUGCACUGGACCUUUACCCGAAUCCUCACAGUAGUUGAUAACCCGCUGAUCUCUCUUGAGGAGCU
rnacentral:lncRNA from 1 species